AUGCUCGCUCAUGAGUUCGUCAUCGCCCCAAGCGUAGGGGUAUCCUCAACAAAUUUGGGUUUCCCUCUCUCCUUCCGUGGCGCGCCCGAAGAUGGGAAUUCGGCGCGAUUUACGGCCGCCGUAGCCGCCUCUGCAAAAGGCGUCGCAGCUGAUCAGAUCUCAACCCCACACCGCGAUUCUGAGAUAACUCAAAGAUUUUAUUGGAAUUCAACAGUUCCCGAUUCACCGAUGAGAAUGUUAUUGCAAUCGCACAUCAAAGUAAGGCCACACUUUGCAAAAGGUAUUUCUUAUGUCUGGCCUUUUUGCCAUAAAUGGUGUCACAGAAACUAUCACAUGAGCUAUGAGACUUUGAGAAAGGGAUAA